rnacentral:tRNA from 1 species
GCAGGGGUAGCCAAGUCUGGUCAACGGCGACAGACUCAAGAUCUGUUCCUGUAGAGGUUCAGGAGUUCGAAUCUCCUCCCCUGCA